GGGCCCGCACAAGCGGUGGAGUAUGUGGUUUAAUUCGAUGCAACGCGAAGAACCUUACCAGGGUUUGACAUCCUGCGAAUUUCUGGAACCGGAAGAUGCCUUCGGGAGCGCAGUGACAGGUGGUGCAUGGCUGUCGUCAGCUCGUGUCGUGAGAUGUUGGUUAAGUCCCGCAACGAGCGCAACCCACGUCUUUAGUUGCCAGCAUUUAGUUGGGCACUCUAGAGAGACCGCCGGUGAUAAACCGGAGGAAGGUGUGGAUGACGUCAAGUCAUCAUGCCCCUUACAUCCUGGGCUACACACGUACUACAAUGCUACGGACAAAGGGCAGCAAACUCGCGAGAGCUAGCA
rnacentral:rRNA from 1 species